GGUGGCAGCAGUAGGGAAUCUUCCACAAUGGACGCAAGUCUGAUGGAGCAACGCCGCGUGAGUGAAGAAGGGUUUCGGCUCGUAAAGCUCUGUUGUUAAAGAAGAACGUGGGUAAGAGUAACUGUUUACCCAGGACGGUAUAACC
rnacentral:rRNA from 1 species